ensembl:lncRNA
GUGAGGUUUAAUUCAGCUCUACUGAACUAACACUGUAGCGACACGUGUAAUAAACAGGACACGAAAUGAGUAGAAGACAGCGUAUCCAAAUGUAAUGUUUAUGUGCACAACUAAAGGGAGAUUCUGAAGGUUAAUCCUGCGUCUCAAAAUAUACGUGCUGCCUACUUAGACGAGCAUUUUUAAAAACCAUUACCGUGGAUAACGAUGUCUAAAAUACCUUAGUAUUGAAGAAGGCAGCUUUGGAGACACAGCCGUGACCUGCUGUAACGUUACCCAACUUCCGGUUUAACAGAUACGUGUGUAGCACUUUGUUUUACACUUCUGUUCCUCAUAUGUACAUACUACGUACUUAUUAUAGUAACGUUCAUUUACAAUAACUAGGCACUAACCCAAAACCUAACUCUACCCCAUGUAGUACUGUAAAAUAAAGUGCAACCGAUUGUGGAGUACAAAGAUGUCCAAGCCUGCUUCUCGUAGCUCUCAGCUGCUGCUGUCGGAUCAGAAGUGUGCUAAAUGUCUGUUGGAGACGUAUGUCAAGCGGAGCCUCAGCCUGAAUGAAGGAUGCAGGAAACAUCAGCUAAAUAAACACAAAUGGCUUAAACCAGACAGGCAGUCCAGACGGGCGUCCAGUGACACCUCCACCCAGCGUUUGAGAGUAGAGAGGCUCCUGAAGACCAGCGAGUGCCCUGAAUGCACAACACCAGAACUUGUCACUAGGAGAAAGAGCACCAAAGCACCAAACAGAACCAAAUCAUUCUUCAGAGGCUUUCUCCACCUCUUCUCUAAGAAGAAGACCGAGCCCAAAGUGAAAGAUGAGCGAGUUACAGAAACAGACUCUGGACAACAUAUGAUAGAACGGGGGCUUCGCUCUUCUCAGAAAGGCUCAUCUGGCCUCAGUGUGAGGAAAAAACACUCUCUGAGAAGGAUCUUCUUUAGCAAUCAAAAUGAUGAGAAAAGAGAGUCCCUGCAAAAGGACUCCUCUCGUGUUCGUGGAGGCGUGGAGGGGCUUUCAGACGUGAGCGUGGACUCUGAUAAUACAUACUUUGAGAAGGUGUCAGAAGAACUGGAGUUGAUUGUGAAGGAGAUUCAGUUCAGUCCAAAAGAAGAUGCUCCGCUUCUCUCUUCUGCUUCUGCAAGAGACUGCAGCUCUUCAGGUGAUGACACUACAGAGAGGAUUACCAGCCUGCUGAAGCAACAUGGGGAUAUUAUUGAUCAGAAAAUAAGCAGGAACAAGAGUGUCCAAGACUUCCUCCAGAAACUGUCUUACAGCUCCUUCCAGCAGCUGGCUGAUCGCUACAUAGCGCAGAUCCCCAGUCCUCUUCCCCAGACCACAGACGCCUCCCCUGAGCUGGUCAGACUCGCCUUCACCCUGGACUUUACCGCCAAAGUGGCUGGAUUGUGCAGCCAGACAGUCGGUCGGAUCAUGGGGUUUGGUAACCAGUACCUUCAGGAUUCCUUCACACAAAUGUGUGCAGCCCACAGACAGGUGCCAGAAGAUUUGGAAGAACAGAGUACAAGUGAUACAGACUGACUGUGAAGUCAAAAACGACAAAAAAAAAAAAAGAUAAAAAGUGCAAUAGAGUUAACUCAGGGGGGGGGGAAACUGAUGUAUUUGUAGCUGCUUUUGUGAAUAAGCCAAAUUUAGUAGUUUGUUUAUACUAUAAGUUUACAGUGACUGACUGUGAAAAUUACAACAGUUGAACCUGAUACUAAAACUGUGAAUAAUAUUUGUUUUUUUUACACCAAAUUAGCAUAUUCUACUGAUUUCUGAAUGAUAAUGUGACAUUGAAG